rnacentral:rRNA from 1 species
CGACAGAGGGUGCAAACGUUGCUCGGAAUUACUGGGCAUAAAGCGCACGUAGGCGGCCGUGUAAGUGCGGUGUGAAAGCCCCCGGCCUAACCGGGGAACUGCAUCGCAUACUGCAUGGCUAGAGCUUGGGAGGGGAGAGUGGAACUCCUGGUGGAGCGGUGGAAUGCGUAGAUAUCAGGAGGAACGCCGGAGGUGAAGACGACUCUCUGGCCCAAUGCUGACGCUGAGGUGCGAAAGCUAGGGGAGCGAACGGGAUUAGAAACCCCAGUAGUCC